UACGUAGGGGGCGAGCGUUGUCCGGAAUCAUUGGGCGUAAGCGCGUGUAGGCGGCUCGAUAAGUCCGGUGUGAAACCUUGGGGCUCAACCCAAGCCUGCACUGGAUACUGCCGAGCUAGAGUCCGGGAGGGAGAGCGGAAUUCCUAGUGUAGCGGUGAAAUGCGCAGAUAUUAGGAAGAACACCAGUGGCGAAGGCGGCUACUGGUCCGGUUCUGACGCUGAGGCGCGAAAGCGUGGGAGCAACAGG
rnacentral:rRNA from 1 species